GACGAACCGUGCGAACGUUGUUCGGAUUCACUGGGCUUAAAGGGCGCGUAGGCGGGCGGCCCAAGUCAGGGGUGAAAUCUUUCGGCCCAACCGGAAAAGUGCCCCUGAUACUGGCGGCCUCGAGGGGGGUAGGGGCAUGCGGAACUUCCGGUGGAGCGGUGAAAUGCGUAGAUAUCGGAAGGAACGCCGGUGGCGAAAGCGGCGUGCUGGACCCCUUCGACGCUGAGG
rnacentral:rRNA from 1 species